AGCGAACGCUGGCGGCAUGCUUAACACAUGCGAGUCGCACGGGUGGUUUCGGCCAUCAGCGGCGGACGGGUGAGUAUCGCGUAGGAAUGUAUCCCGAGGUGGGGGACAACCCUGGGAAACUGGGGCUAAUACCGCAUGGGGCCUGUGGGUCAAAGCCUUAGGGCGCCUUGGGAGCAGCCUGCGUCCGAUUAGGUAGUUGGUGGGGUAAAGGCCUACCAAGCCUGCGAUCGGUAGCUGGUCUGAGAGGACGAUCAGCCACACUGGGACUGAGACACGGCCCAGACUCCUACGGGAGGCAGCAGUGGGGAAUAUUGGACAAUGGGCGCAAGCCUGAUCCAGCAAUGCCGCGUGGGUGAAGAAGGUCUUCGGAUUGUAAAGCCCUUUCGGCGGGGACGAUGAUGACGGUACCCGCAGAAGAAGCCCCGGCUAACUUCGUG
rnacentral:rRNA from 1 species